GCCUGGCUAGCUCAAUCGGUAGAGCGUGAGACUCUUACUUCCCUUCCAAGGGCGAUAUCUCAAGGCUGCGGGUUCGACCCCCGCGUUGGGCU